CUAACUGAAUCUUCAACAGAUGCCUAGUCCCUCCCCAGCAAGCUUUCUAAAGAUGUACAUAGGAAAGAAUUAGAAAUUAAUAUUUGUAAGUCAGAAAUAUAAAAAACUGCUUUUCAAGGAGAACAGAAGGGUAGAGACCAUGACUUUCCUCAAAGAAUAUACACAGACAAGGAGUGGAAGACAUGGAGUGAAGGUCAAGUUGAGCUUCAGGCCAAACAGGCAGACAAACCAGGGUUCACAGUAAGAGAAUGGAAGCAUGUGACAAAGUAACUUCUCAGAGUCCUUAUGCAUCGAUGAAUCUGUGUUCAAGUUGCAGCAACCUAACCUAACGGAAUGCCAAUGGGUGGGAGGAUGUUUUUACCAUUUUUUUGCACUCAGGUCACUUGGACCAAGUCUCUGUGGGUUGCUCCUCUCACAUCCUUGAGGCAUCAGCUGGAAUUUCUCGAGUGUUGCCAGAGGAUCCAUUGGUUUUGUAUGUGACGUCUUACUCAGAAGGCUGGCAAGUUGUCACUGGCUGGGAGGUGAGCCAGGGCAUUGGAUAGGAGGUGCAUGUCUUGCCCACAUGAGAUACUUCAGGGU